CUCGCGAGACUUUUGCACCGUGAAUGCGGGCUGCAGGUGAAGCCGGAGGUGGAGAUGCAGGAGCAGGACCCCCGAGGUCUCCAGGCAGGAGCGGAGGGGGCAGGACAGGCCUGGUGACAAGCACGCCAGGACCAGGGGCAUCCCCGAGGGCAGGGAAAGCAGCAGCCCUGGAGGAGCCGGGGCAGGAGGCAGCGCGACGGCGCAGGAGACGUGCUCACACACGGCGCCGCCCCGCGGGGCAC